rnacentral:rRNA from 1 species
GUAGGUGGCAAGCGUUGUCCGGAAUUAUUGGGCGUAAAGCGCGCGCAGGCGGUCCUUUAAGUCUGAUGUGAAAGCCCACGGCUCAACCGUGGAGGGUCAUUGGAAACUGGGGGACUUGAGUACAGAAGAGGAAAGCGGAAUUCCAAGUGUAGCGGUGAAAUGCGUAGAGAUUUGGAGGAACACCAGUGGCGAAGGCGGCUUUCUGGUCUGUAACUGACGCUGAGGCGCGAAAGCGUGGGGAGCAAACAGGAUUAGAUACCCUGGUAGUCCACGCCGUAAACGAUGAGUGCUAAGUGUUAGGGGGUUUCCCGCCCCCCUUAGUGCUGCAGCUAACGCAUCAAGCACUCCGCCUGGGGAGUACGGCCGCAAGGCUG